rnacentral:lncRNA from 1 species
AGGAACCUUUCACAGCAGCCAAUACCUGCAGGGCAACAAAGAAUCAAAUGAGAGCGAGACAAGCUGGGAAUGAAGUCCUGGUUGCCAGAUGGGAGCUUGAAAAUACAGUAAGAUGAGUCAAAAAGUGGCCAAGGAGGGCCCCAGGCUCUCCAAGAACCAGAAGUUCUCAGAGCACUUCAGCAUCCACUGCUGCCCACCCUUCACCUUCCUCAACUCCAAGCGUGAGAUCGUGGACCGCAAGUACAGCAUCUGCAAGAGCGGUUGCUUUUACCAGAAGAAGGAGGAGGACUGGAUCUGCUGUGCCUGCCAGAAGACCAGCCGCCGUGCCACAUCCCCUCAGAAGCCCAAGCACCAGCCAGCUGCAUCCCCUGUGGUGGUCAGAGCGCCGCCAGCCAAGCCAAAGUCCCCU